CCUACGGGAGGCAGCAGUGAGGAAUAUUGGUCAAUGGACGAGAGUCUGAACCAGCCAAGUAGCGUGAAGGAUGACUGCCCUAUGGGUUGUAAACUUCUUUUAUAAAGGAAUAAAACGAGGUACGUGUGCCUUUUUGCAUGUACUUUAUGAAUAAGGAUCGGCUAACUCCGUGCCAGCAGCCGCGGUAAUACGGAGGAUCCGAGCGUUAUCCGGAUUUAUUGGGUUUAAAGGGAGCGUAGAUGGGUUGUUAAGUCAGUUGUGAAAGUUUGCGGCUCAACCGUAAAAUUGCAAUUGAUACUGGCAGUCGUGAGUACAGUUGAGGUAGGCGGAAUUCGUGGUGUAGCGGUGAAAUGCUUAGAUAUCACGAAGAACCCCGAUUGCGAAGGCAGCUUACUAAACUGUGACUGACAUUGAUGCUCGAAAGUGUGGGUAUCAAACAGGAUUAGAUACCCUUGUAGUC
rnacentral:rRNA from 1 species